rnacentral:rRNA from 1 species
AGAGUUUGAUCAGUGGCUACGAGAACGAACGCUGGCGGCAGGCUUAACACAUGCAAGUCGAACGGUUGUAGCAAUACAGCAGUGGCAGACGGGUGAGUAACACGUGGGAACCUUCCUAGGGGUACGGAACAACUCAGGGAAACUUGAGCUAAUACCGUAUACGUCCGUGAGGAGAAAGAUUUAUCGCCCUUAGACGGGCCCGCGUCGGAUUAGCUAGUUGGUGGGUAACGGCCUACCAAGGCGACGAUCCGUAGCUGAUCUUAGAGGAUGAUCAGCCACACUGGGACUGAGACACGGCCCAGACUCCUACGGGAGGCAGCAGUGGGGAAUCUUGGACAAUGGGCGCAAGCCUGAUCCAGCCAUGCCGCGUGAGUGAAGAAGGUCUUCGGAUUGUAAAGCUCUUUUGCCAGGGACGAUAAUGACGGUACCUGGAGAAUAAGCCCCGGCAAACUUCGUG